rnacentral:rRNA from 1 species
UGAAUACGAGGCACUAAGGUGCUGAAGUAGUGUAUGUCAUACUUCCAAGAAAAGCUUGCACUAUCGUAAGAUAAAAAUGCCUGUACCAUAACCGACACAGGUGGGUAGGUAGAGUAUACUAAGGGGCGCGAGAUAACUCUCUCUAAGGAACUCGGCAAAAUAACUCCGUAACUUCGGGAGAAGGAGUGCCUUAUUCUAUAAGGUUGCAAUAACAAGAUCCAAGCAACUGUUUAUCAAAAACACAGGUCUCCGCUAAGUCGUAAGACGAUGUAUGGGGGCUGACGCCUGCCCAGUGCCAGAAGGUUAAAGAAGUCGGUUAGCAAUUGCGAAGCUGGUAACUGAAGCCCUGGUGAACGGCGGCCGUAACAAUAACGGUCCUAAGGUAGCGAAAUUCCUUGUCGGGUAAGUUCCGACCCGCACGAAAGGCGUAAUGAUUUGGAUACUGUCUCGGAGAGGGACUCGGUGAAAUAGACUUGUCUGUGAAGAUGCGGACUACCUGCACCAGGACAGAAAGACCCUAUGAAGCUUUACUGUAACUUGAAAUUGAAAUUGGACUUUAUUCGCGCAGUAUAGGUGGGAGGCGUUGAUUAUAAUCUUGUGGGAUUAUUGGAGCCAUUAGUGAGAUACCACUCUUGUAAUGUUAGAUUUCUAACUUUGAAUCAUGAUCUGGUCAAAGAACAGUUUCAGGCGGGCAGUUUGACUGGGGCGGUCGCCUCCUAAAUGGUAACGGAGGCGUACAAAGGUUUCCUCUGAACGGGUAGAAAUCGUAUCUAGAGUGUAAAGGCAUAAGGAAGCUUGACUGUGAGACCUACAAGUCGAGCAGGGACGAAAGUCGGUCUUAGUGAUCUGACGGUACUGAGUGGAAAGGCCGUCACUCAACGGAUAAAAGUUACUCUAGGAUAACAGGCUGAUCUCCCCCAAGAGUUCACAUCGACGGGGAGGUUUGGCACCUCGAUGUCGGCUCAUCGCAUCCUGGGGCGGUAGUACGUCCCAAGGGUUGGGCUGUUCGCCCAUGAAAGCGGUACGCGAGCUGGGUUCAGAACGUCGUGAGACAGUUCGGUCCAUAUCCGGUGUAGGCGUUAGAAUAUUGAGAGGAGCCUUCUUUAGUACGAGAGGACCGAGAAGGACAUACCUUUGGUGUACCAGUUAUCGUGCCAACGGUAAACGCUGGGUAGCUAUGUAUGGAGUGGAUAACCGCUGAAAGCAUCUAAGUGGGAAGCCCACCUCAAGAUAAGUAUUCUC